UAUUCAUUUCACCACCUCCACAGCUGCUUUAAAGGGGAGCUGGGGAGGCAGCGUGAACACACUUCCUUCCUCUCUCCUGGGAACCACGGGGGCUGACACCAUCAGGGACCGCCCAGCAUGGAGCCACCUCCGGAUGUUUGGGGCGUUCCUCAACUGACGGGCCUGGUUGGCAGACACUGCUUUCCAAUAACAAAGCUGAGAAGACCCCAGCACUGCCUUCCCUGCUGACCUGGAUGAUGGGCCUGGAACAUGGAACCUCAGAUGCCCCGGGGCAGGGGAGGAGAGGCCUCUUCCCUGUGUGGCCACACUGUGAUGGCCCUAGGGGAGUUGCAGAGCCACGUGGGGAGUCUGUGGUCAGGGGCGGGACAGCAGAGUCCCCCUGCACCGGCCUGGUGGGGCGAUCUGGACAACGGGUCUGGCUGCGCAGCUCCCUUCACUCCUCCCGUGUCUCGGCCUUCCUGGGGAUUCAUGAGCUGCCCCAAAUCCGCACGAUAAAUUCCCCUUUGCUGCAGGAGCCAGCCAUGCUACACAGACCAAACUCCCAACCAGCACAGCGUCUGUUUGCCACCACCGGGCAUCCCAGCAGAUGACACACCCUUGGAGGCAUUCCUCCAGUGGCUGCGUCGCCAGCAAGGUGCCCGGUCACUGGGCCCCCUGGACGGAGUCUGAGCUCAGCAGCUCCGAGGAGACCACCCCAGUGGUCUGCAAGUUAUGGCCACGAGGUGGUUGUGCAGAAGUUUGGCCUGGAAAAGAUGAGAGGACAGAAAAGAAAGAAGACUCCAGAGGCACGAACGUCUUCUGCCCAAGGGGAGAGCUACCCACGUGUCUCCCUCCAGGAGGAGGGACGCCAUAAACACUAACUGGACUCGUCUCGCAACAGUCCCUGCCCUCCACCGCUGUAUCAAUAUUUAUCAAGUCUUUGGGGGCUCAGAAUGCGUGCUGGGGAUUCAAUCAAUCCAGCGGGGAUCUGAGUGCUGCGUUGCAUUUUGAGCAACUUCAAUAUGUCUGCCGGUGUUUGGACGCUUGCUUCCAUUACCAAUUCAUGAAGCGUCUGCUGGAAUUAGUAAAUCCCUUUCAUUUACUUACGUAGGAGAAAAUGUUUAAUAGCUGCCACAUGAAAUUUGCAAAUUGUGCUCUAUCUGAGGCUGAUUAAUAAAACACCAUGGAAAAUCCA